UACGUAGGGUGCGAGCGUUAAUCGGAAUUACUGGGCGUAAAGCGUGCGCAGGCGGUUCGUUGUGUCGGUGGUGAAAGCCCCGGGCUUAACCUGGGAAUGGCCAUGGAAACUGGCGAACUGGAGUGUGGCAGAGGGGGGUGGAAUUCCGCGGUGUAGCAGUGAAAUGCGUAGAGAUGUGGAGGAACACCGAUGGCGAAGGCAGCCCCCUGGGUCAAGAUUGACGCUCAUGCACGAAAGCGUGGGGAGC
rnacentral:rRNA from 1 species